UACGGGGGGGGCAAGCGUUGUUCGGAAUUACUGGGCGUAAAGGGCUCGUAGGUGGCCAACUAAGUCAGACGUGAAAUCCCUCGGCUUAACCGGGGAACUGCAUCUGAUACUGGAUGGCUUGAGUUUGGGAGAGGGAUGCGGAAUUCCAGGUGUAGCGGUGAAAUGCGUAGAUAUCUGGAGGAACACCGGUGGCGAAGGCGGUUCUCUGGGCAUUACCUGACGCUGAGGAGCGAAAGCAUGGGGAGCGAACAGG
rnacentral:rRNA from 1 species